rnacentral:lncRNA from 1 species
UGUCUUAUGUUUGAGUGAUGUAUUGAAUGUAUUAAAAUUAUAUUUUGGCUAUAGUUUAAGUACAAGUUUUUUUUUUUUUAUUUCUUUCUUUUUCUCAAUUUCUUUCAGUGAUAUUUCCGACCAAGCCUCAGUGUGUCUGACAGAGACAGUUGUUCCCAAACGGUCUGGCCCACAGAAGCUUCUAGCAACACUUGACUGUCCUCAGCUCACUCAGGUGCACGGAGUCGCAAACAUCCUGGUCAGAGAUCACUGAAUAGCCUUCACUUCAUCUCAUUGCAAACAUCUACGUUCUUAAAACAUUCAAAAUUGCACUGUGGCUUCAGUAUUUUCAGUUUGGAGGGACGAGAAUGUGUUUGAAUUAACCUACGCAAUACAAGCGUGAUGCUUUUCGAGGUACUUAUCCCAGUUUGCAUGUGCUUGUAGAUCUAUGGCAAUCAAUAAAUGGAAAAACAAAAUUGUUAGUUUUCAUCAUUGGUGGCUCUCAGUUUUCUAAAUAACCAAAUAACCACAGCGUUUAGUUUCAAAACUAAAAACUAUGAAAACACCUAUCAAAGUGGAGCAGGUACUUGCUGUGUUCAUAUUCUAGUUUACACAUUACACAUUUUCCACUAUAACAUCUCAAACUCUAUUAAAACCAUUGCAUCCUUGAUCUUUAUAUUUCAUAUAAUGUUAUGACUUAAAAUGUGGCACAAUUUACCAUACUUCAUCCAGUUCAGCAUUAUCACCUAUCUUUAUAAAUGAACAUUUACACACACAGAGAGAUGUUUAAGUGUUUAAAGCAGUCACAUUUAUUGGCCUCUUCUAUGCACAUUUACUAAACAGCCAGACAAGCUGGCAAACGGUUUUAGAGACAUUUUACAAUGGGACUUUCCACAAAGUUUACUAAAAAAUAAAUACAAGACUCAAAGUGUUGCACAGAUCAAAAAUAUACAAAAGCUUAUAAUUAAUGUAAACUUUGAAAACAUUUUACAUAAGAAACACCCUGGAAAUGAUUUAAAAUGUAUUCUAUUUACAAAUUUGUACAAAAAAAAAAAAAAAAAAAUAAGUUGCUUGAAGACUUCAGUCUAGUACCAGAAGAGACAUCACAUAACUGUGUGUGUUCAGUACAGCAAGUGUUUGUCCAACUCUGAAAUCCUUUGGUACACAAAUCUUUGCAUGUUACCAUUCACCAAGCAUGCUUUAACAAUAUGAGAAUUCAAUUCAUAAUUGCUUUUGCUAUGUGUUAACUAUUACUGUUUAAAUAGCCUUAGGUACAGCAAGAGACAAUGUGAAAACCUUCACAACAUACUAAACAUCAGUGCAAAUUUUAAGGUUAGACUUUACAAUGUUAGAAUGAUAGCUUAGAAAAUCAUUUAUCUCUGUCUUGGAGAUGGAUAGUGAAAGUCUUCACCUCCUUUUAGAUUUGCAACAAAUUGCUCAGGUUUGUAAAUGUGUGUUUUCCCCUUUGUGUAACAUCAAAACUAGUUAGUUGUUAGUGGUCAAAUAAUUGAGGACAGCUCAAAUACCUGGUCUUGUAAAUGAUCCAAAGACUAAAUCUCACCAAGCAAGGUAAAUUUCAAACACACCAAAUGUUCAAUGGUACAAAGGAGAAAAAUGCCAAAUACAUCACUGGACACCAUUAGGUUUCAAAGGAUUGUUAACAGAGUAGCUUUUGCCGUUACUAUAUUUUAUAUUAUUUAUAAGUGGUUUUAAUUUCUGCAUUAAAUUAAUGUCUUUUAAAACCAGUGUUUUCUCACUAAAGCUUUACCUCUGAAAAGAAAAACAUAAGUCCAUAAAUCCAUAAAUAAAUCUGCAGUCAUAAAUUUAUCAAAGCCCAAUAUUUCAUAAAAGCCAGCAAGAUACUAAUAAUCCUUUCGCUUUAGUACCAAAAUGAAAAACAUGAGGUGGCUCUUGGAAACUGAUUGAAAAAAGAAGCUGAGAAAAACAAUAACCAAAAGAGUAGUGCAAGUCCAUGUUUUUCAUCUUUUGUAACCUUUUUUUUUAACAACCUCUUUCCUUUGAUUUGCAUCCUUUCCAGCACAUCCUCACACACACAGAUUUAUUUGUU